GGUUAAGCGACUAAGCGUACACGGUGGAUGCCCUGGCAGUCAGAGGCGAUGAAGGACGUGCUAAUCUGCGAUAAGCGUCGGUAAGGUGAUAUGAACCGUUAUAACCGGCGAUUUCCGAAUGGGGAAACCCAGUGUGAUUCGUCACACUAUCAUUAACUGAAUCCAUAGGUUAAUGAGGCGAACCGGGGGAACUGAAACAUCUAAGUACCCCGAGGAAAAGAAAUCAACCGAGAUUCCCCCAGUAGCGGCGAGCGAACGGGGAGGAGCCCAGAGCCUGAAUCAGUGUGUGUGUUAGUGGAAGCGUCUGGAAAGGCGCGCGAUACAGGGUGACAGCCCCGUACACAAAAAUGCACAUACUGUGAGCUCGAUGAGUAGGGCGGGACACGUGGUAUCCUGUCUGAAUAUGGGGGGACCAUCCUCCAAGGCUAAAUACUCCUGACUGACCGAUAGUGAACCAGUACCGUGAGGGAAAGGCGAAAAGAACCCCGGCGAGGGGAGUGAAAAAGAACCUGAAACCGUGUACGUACAAGCAGUGGGAGCACGCUUCGGCGUGUGACUGCGUACCUUUUGUAUAAUGGGUCAGCGACUUAUAUUCUGUAGCAAGGUUAACCGAAUAGGGGAGCCGAAGGGAAACCGAGUCUUAACUGGGCGUUAAGUUGCAGGGUAUAGACCCGAAACCCGGUGAUCUAGCCAUGGGCAGGUUGAAGGUUGGGUAACACUAACUGGAGGACCGAACCGACUAAUGUUGAAAAAUUAGCGGAUGACUUGUGGCUGGGGGUGAAAGGCCAAUCAAACCGGGAGAUAGCUGGUUCUCCCCGAAAGCUAUUUAGGUAGCGCCUCGUGAAUUCAUCUCCGGGGGUAGAGCACUGUUUCGGCAAGGGGGUCAUCCCGACUUACCAACCCGAUGCAAACUGCGAAUACCGGAGAAUGUUAUCACGGGAGACACACGGCGGGUGCUAACGUCCGUCGUGAAGAGGGAAACAACCCAGACCGCCAGCUAAGGUCCCAAAGUCAUGGUUAAGUGGGAAACGAUGUGGGAAGGCCCAGACAGCCAGGAUGUUGGCUUAGAAGCAGCCAUCAUUUAAAGAAAGCGUAAUAGCUCACUGGUCGAGUCGGCCUGCGCGGAAGAUGUAACGGGGCUAAACCAUGCACCGAAGCUGCGGCAGCGACACUAUGUGUUGUUGGGUAGGGGAGCGUUCUGUAAGCCUGUGAAGGUGUACUGUGAGGUAUGCUGGAGGUAUCAGAAGUGCGAAUGCUGACAUAAGUAACGAUAAAGCGGGUGAAAAGCCCGCUCGCCGGAAGACCAAGGGUUCCUGUCCAACGUUAAUCGGGGCAGGGUGAGUCGACCCCUAAGGCGAGGCCGAAAGGCGUAGUCGAUGGGAAACAGGUUAAUAUUCCUGUACUUGGUGUUACUGCGAAGGGGGGACGGAGAAGGCUAUGUUGGCCGGGCGACGGUUGUCCCGGUUUAAGCGUGUAGGCUGGUUUUCCAGGCAAAUCCGGAAAAUCAAGGCUGAGGCGUGAUGACGAGGCACUACGGUGCUGAAGCAACAAAUGCCCUGCUUCCAGGAAAAGCCUCUAAGCAUCAGGUAACAUCAAAUCGUACCCCAAACCGACACAGGUGGUCAGGUAGAGAAUACCAAGGCGCUUGAGAGAACUCGGGUGAAGGAACUAGGCAAAAUGGUGCCGUAACUUCGGGAGAAGGCACGCUGAUAUGUAGGUGAAGCGACUUGCUCGUGGAGCUGAAAUCAGUCGAAGAUACCAGCUGGCUGCAACUGUUUAUUAAAAACACAGCACUGUGCAAACACGAAAGUGGACGUAUACGGUGUGACGCCUGCCCGGUGCCGGAAGGUUAAUUGAUGGGGUUAGCGCAAGCGAAGCUCUUGAUCGAAGCCCCGGUAAACGGCGGCCGUAACUAUAACGGUCCUAAGGUAGCGAAAUUCCUUGUCGGGUAAGUUCCGACCUGCACGAAUGGCGUAAUGAUGGCCAGGCUGUCUCCACCCGAGACUCAGUGAAAUUGAACUCGCUGUGAAGAUGCAGUGUACCCGCGGCAAGACGGAAAGACCCCGUGAACCUUUACUAUAGCUUGACACUGAACAUUGAGCCUUGAUGUGUAGGAUAGGUGGGAGGCUUUGAAGUGUGGACGCCAGUCUGCAUGGAGCCGACCUUGAAAUACCACCCUUUAAUGUUUGAUGUUCUAACGUUGGCCCCUGAUCGGGGUUGCGGACAGUGUCUGGUGGGUAGUUUGACUGGGGCGGUCUCCUCCUAAAGAGUAACGGAGGAGCACGAAGGUUGGCUAAUCCUGGUCGGACAUCAGGAGGUUAGUGCAAUGGCAUAAGCCAGCUUGACUGCGAGCGUGACGGCGCGAGCAGGUGCGAAAGCAGGUCAUAGUGAUCCGGUGGUUCUGAAUGGAAGGGCCAUCGCUCAACGGAUAAAAGGUACUCCGGGGAUAACAGGCUGAUACCGCCCAAGAGUUCAUAUCGACGGCGGUGUUUGGCACCUCGAUGUCGGCUCAUCACAUCCUGGGGCUGAAGUAGGUCCCAAGGGUAUGGCUGUUCGCCAUUUAAAGUGGUACGCGAGCUGGGUUUAGAACGUCGUGAGACAGUUCGGUCCCUAUCUGCCGUGGGCGCUGGAGAACUGAGGGGGGCUGCUCCUAGUACGAGAGGACCGGAGUGGACGCAUCACUGGUGUUCGGGUUGUCAUGCCAAUGGCACUGCCCGGUAGCUAAAUGCGGAAGAGAUAAGUGCUGAAAGCAUCUAAGCACGAAACUUGCCCCGAGAUGAGUUCUCCCUGACUCCCUGAGAGUCCUGAAGGAACGUUGAAGACGACGACGUUGAUAGGCCGGGUGUGUAAGCGCAGCGAUGCGUUGAGCUAACCGGUACUAAUGAACCGUGAGGCUUAACCUU
rnacentral:rRNA from 1 species